rnacentral:tRNA from 1 species
UGCGGGGUGGAGAAGUGGUAUCUCGUCGGGCUCAUAACCCGAAGGUCGCAGGUUCGAAUCCUGCCCCCGCUACCA